rnacentral:tRNA from 1 species
UCCUCGGUAGUAUAGUGGUGAGUAUGUCCGCCUGUCACGCGGGAGACCAGGGUUCGAUUCCCUGCCGAGGAG